CCUAAUCGAUCCUGCCAGUAGUCAUAUGCUUGUCUCAAAGAUGAAGCCAUGCAUGUGCAAGUGUGAACUAAAUUAGAUUGCGAAACUGUGAAUGGCUCAUUAAAUCAGUUAUAGUUUGUUUGAUGGUACCUGCUACUCGGAUAUCCAUAGUAAUUUUAGAGCUAAAACGUGCAACAUUCGCCAACUUCUGAAAGGGAUGCAUUUAUUAGAUAAAAUGCUGAUGCGGGCUCUCCCAGCAUUUCUGAUGAUUCAUAAUAACUCGAUUAAUCACACAACACUCGUACUAGUGACGCAUCAUUCAAAUUUCUACCCUAUCAACUUUCGAUGGUAGGGUAGGGGCCUACCAUGGUGGUGACGGGUAACGGAGAAUUAGAGUUCAAUUUCGGAGAGAGAGCAUGAGAAACAGCUACCACAUCCAAUGAAGGCAAUAGACGCGCAAAUUACCUAAUCCUGACACAGGUAGGUAGUGACAAUAAAUAAAAAUGCCGUGCACUUUGGGUCUGUUAAUUGGAAUGAGUACAAUCUAAAUCCCUUAAUGAGGAUCCAUUGGAUGGCAAGUUUGGUGCAAGCAGACGCAGUAAUUUUAGCUUUAAUAUCAUAUGUUUAAGUUGUUAUAGUUAAAAAGCUCAUAGUCGGACCAUGGGCCGGGCUGGUUGGUUCAUCUCCCGAUGUUCACCAGCCGUCUAGUCCCCUCUGUCGAUGAUGCAUUCUUGCCCUUAACUGGGCGGGUCAUCCCCCCGGUAGCAUUACAUUAAAGAAAUUAAAGUGAUCAAAGCAAGCCCACGCUAUGGAUAUAUUAGCAUGGAAUAACAUCAUAGGAUUAUGGUCCUAUUGUGUUAGCCUUUGGGAUCAGAGUAAUGAGUAAGAGUGACAGUUAGGGGUAUUCAUAUUUCGUUGUCAAAGGUGAAAUUCUAGGAUUUAUAAAAGAUGAACCACUGCGAUCACACAAGCACCCUUCGACGGAAUACAUGAUCCCUACACGCAAACUGUACAAAACUUCAUCCAAUGGGGUUUCAUGUGAUACCAAGUGAUGUAGAGGGGGUGCAUGGCCAAGAUGCCACCGUCGCUGAUAAACGCCUAAACAUACGUAUUUUCCAUGUAUUCGGGUGUAUGUAUUAUGUAUUUUUCUAUGAGUUGACGACCGUUUUUGGUCUGAAUUGGUUUCUUUCGUGUUACAGGUACUGAUGUGACCCCUUCGAGCUCAUUGAUAGAAUUUGAGAAGAAAUUGGCAACGAAAACACUAUUUUGUAAGGGGGUACUGGUAGCGACUACUGUAGCAGAUCCUGUAGCACGAACCCUUUGGCGAAACGGCUAAGUCUGGAGCUUCAUGCGGGCUGUCAUGCGGGAAUUGCAGAGGCCGCAUACGGUACUGUAGCAGUCCUACUGUAGCAACUUACGCGAUUUCGGGAUUUUCUCGGAAAUUUUCUCUCCCCGCAUGCGGGACCGCAUAGGGGGCCGCAUAACACACUGGAAAAGGUUUUUAAGGGUUUUGGAGUCCAUUUUGAGGGAGGAGGCUAG
rnacentral:rRNA from 1 species